rnacentral:rRNA from 1 species
AUUGAACGCUGGCGGCAGGCCUAACACAUGCAAGUCGAGCGGCAGCGGGAAGUAGCUUGCUACUUUGACGGCGAGCGGCGGACGGGUGAGUAAUGUCUGGGAAACUGCCUGAUGGAGGGGGAUAACUGCUGGAAACGGUAGCUAAUACCGAAUAAUGUAGCAAGACCAAAGAGGGGGACCUUUGGGCCUCCUGCCAUCAGAUGUGCCACGAUGGGAUUAACUAGUAGGUGGGGUAAUGGCUCACCUAGGCGACGAUCCCUAGCUGGUCUGAGAGGAUGACCAGCCACACUGGAACUGAGACACGGUCCAGACUCCUACGGGAGGCAGCAGUGGGGAAUAUUGCACAAUGGGCGCAAGCCUGAUGCAGCCAUGCCGCGUGUAUGAAGAAGGCCUUCGGGUUGUAAAGUACUUUCAGCGGGGAGGAAGGUGUUGAGGUUAAUAACCUCAGCAAUUGACGUUACCCGCAGAAGAAACACCGGCUAACUCCGUGCCAGCCGCCGCGGUAACAC